GAUGAAGAACGUAGCGAAAUGCGAUACGUAAUGUGAAUUGCAGAAUUCAGUGAAUCAUCGAGUCUUUGAACGCACAUUGCGCCCCCUGGUAUUCCGAAGGGCAUGCCUGUUCGAGCGUCAUUAUCACCCCUCAAGCCCCCCUGGCUUGGUGUUGGACGGUUUUGGUGGGACGUGCAGCCUCUCACCCCUCCUAAAGACAAUGACGGCGGCGUCGUUGGAACCCCCGGUACACUGAGCUUCUUAACUGAGCACGUACUGGAUGCGGGUACGCGAUGCACGGUCUGCCUCCCCUUUAGGGAGAACUUUUUCUUAAGGUUGACCUCGGAUCAGGUAGGAAUACCCGCUGAACUUAAGCAUAUCAAUAAGCGGAGGA
rnacentral:misc_RNA from 1 species